UGUUAUUGUUAUUUAUUAUUAUUAUUAUUAGAGGAUGAACUGCUCCAGAGGAGGCAGGAAGAGAGUGACCUGGAUCCUGUUGGGGGAGGGAGACUCCAUGCUGGUGGCACAUGUCAGUGAGUCUGCCAUAGGGAGACAGGACUUGAUGUAUGGACACAGCUAAUGCUAGGGUACUGGAAGUUUGUGUGUACUCUGGGCUAACAACACAACUCACCAUUUAUUGAACUACUACUAUAAACCAGAGAUCACGCUGAGCAGCCUAAAGACCCCAUCUGGCUUAAUGUUUGUGACAAUCACAGGAGGUAAAGGUGACCCACAUGAAAGUGACAAUCAAUGACUGAUGGUGAUUUUAACCAUUAAUAAAUAAGAACAACACAUAUAAUGCUGCUUACUGGCUCACUCUCUGGCUGACACUCAGCUUUCUUCUACAGUGUAGGUUUGUCUGCUUCCUGGAGUGGGCUCGGCUCUCCCACAUAAAUCACCAAUCAAUGUAAUUUCUUGCAGACAAGGCCACAAGCCAAUCUGAUCAAUGCAACUCUUCAGUUGAAGUUCCCUUCUCCCAGGUGACUCAAGAUAAAUCACCUUCAGGAAGCUGAAUGAAGCCAUCCAUUCUCCUGCAAGCCACACACUUCCCAGCCACUCCCACCGGCCUCCUUGGGUACUAUCUGGAAGUGGGAAUAGCAUAUAUCUCUCUUCCCCAGGUCCUAGGAAGUUACCUGGUUUUCUGGUUGUGUCCCCCAACAUUCAGGCCACAGACCAUCCAGCAUCAGAUCUACUUUUCUGCACAUUCCAAGCUUCGUUGUCACCCGACUCUACAUAUCAGCACUCAGACUACCCGGGAAUCUUCACAGACUCCGGAAUGGAGGACCUUGUUCUUGCUUCUUAAAUGCUUUCCCAAAAAUUUCCAUGAGGGCUGGAGAGACGACUUGGGGGUGAGGAGUGCUUGCUGCUCCUGCAGAGGACCCCCAGUGCCAGGAGAGCCGACACUCUCUCCUGGCCUCCAAAAGUACUGCCCUUCCUUACACAUGUCCACCACAGACAGACACACACACACACACACACACACACACACACACA
rnacentral:lncRNA from 1 species